rnacentral:rRNA from 1 species
UGGGGAAUAUUGCACAAUGGGCGCAAGCCUGAUGCAGCCAUGCCGCGUGUGUGAAGAAGGCCUUCGGGUUGUAAAGCACUUUCAGCGGGGAGGAAGGCGUUAAGGUUAAUAACCUUGGCGAUUGACGUUACCCGCAGAAGAAGCACCGGCUAACUCCGUGCCAGCAGCCGCGGUAAUACGGAGGGUGCAAGCGUUAAUCGGAAUUACUGGGCGUAAAGCGCACGCAGGCGGUCUGUCAAGUCGGAUGUGAAAUCCCCGGGCUCAACCUGGGAACUGCAUUCGAAACUGGCAGGCUAGAGUCUUGUAGAGGGGAGUAGAAUUCCAGGUGUAGCGGUGAAAUGCGUAGAGGUCUGGAAGAAUACCGGUGGCGAAGGCGGCCCCCUGGGCAAAGACUGACGCUCAGGUGCGAAAGCGUAGGGAGCAAACAGG